rnacentral:rRNA from 1 species
UACGUAGGGGGCAAGCGUUGUCCGGAAUCAUUGGGCGUAAAGAGCGUGUAGGCGGCCCGAUAAGUCCGCUGUGAAAGUCCAGGGCUCAACCCUGGGAUGCCGGUGGAUACUGUCGGGCUCGAGUCCGGAAGAGGAGUGUGGAAUUCCUGGUGUAGCGGUGAAAUGCGCAGAUAUCAGGAGGAACGCCAAUGGCGAAGGCAGCACUCUGGGACGUGACUGACGCUGAGACGCGAAAGCGUGGGGAGCAAACAGG